GGUAGAAUGGCUGAGGUAUAAUAGGCGAUAAACUGUAAAUUUAUUUAGGAGAAUUUUCUCUUCUACCA
rnacentral:tRNA from 1 species